rnacentral:sRNA from 1 species
AAAAACAAAUCGAAACAUGUAUUCAAUCAAAAAACUAAAAAGAAUACAAAAUAAAAUAAAAACAACGAUGCUAUGAAAUAGUUAAAAAAUUACACUAGCUAAUGAAUGAAUAAAAUGAUAGAUGAUACUUAUGUUUGAUUCUUGAUUUUGAUUUUCAUCGGAUGCCAUAAUUGAGACAAUAGGGUUACAAUAUAUUGAUUAAGGUUUUCUAAUAAAAAUAAGAUAUAUCACAG